CAUAGCGGAGGAAAAGAAACCAACCGGGAUUGCCUUAGUAACGGCGAGUGAAGCGGCAAAAGCUCAAAUUUGAAAUCUGGUACCUUCGGUGCCCGAGUUGUAAUUUGGAGAGGGCAACUUUGGGGCCGUUCCUUGUCUAUGUUCCUUGGAACAGGACGUCAUAGAGGGUGAGAAUCCCGUGUGGCGAGGAGUGCGGUUCUUUGUAAAGUGCCUUCGAAGAGUCGAGUUGUUUGGGAAUGCAGCUCUAAGUGGGUGGUAAAUUCCAUCUAAAGCUAAAUAUUGGCGAGAGACCGAUAGCGAACAAGUACAGUGAUGGAAAGAUGAAAAGAACUUUGAAAAGAGAGUGAAAAAGUACGUGAAAUUGUUGAAAGGGAAGGGCAUUUGAUCAGACAUGGUGUUUUGUGCCCUCUGCUCCUUGUGGGUAGGGGAAUCUCGCAUUUCACUGGGCCAGCAUCAGUUUUGGUGGCAGGAUAAAUCCAUAGGAAUGUAGCUUGCCUCGGUAAGUAUUAUAGCCUGUGGGAAUACUGCCAGCUGGGACUGAGGACUGCGACGUAAGUCAAGGAU
rnacentral:rRNA from 1 species